GGAGGGGCGAGUGGCCGGGGCCGGGGUCUCCGGCGCACCGCUCGCGGCGCGCGGGUAGGGGGCCGCGAGAGCAGGGCGAGGGUGCCGCCGGGACCCGGGCAGCGAGGCUCACCGUCUGCUGCAGGAAAAUGCCAGCUCCACAGCUGGGCUUCAGUGGAAGCUGUGUCUUGGCCCCACCCCAGUGACCAGAGGCCUUACAAGGACCCUGUCCAUGCUCCCGCUGGCUCCAGGGACAGGAACUAUGAGAAACCCUCUGCAACAGCAGCCCACAUCCUGCUGGUCCUGAGCUAAACAAUCUGGGGACCAAAACCGUGAAGUCAUUCAUACAAGGCUGUCCAGUGACGGGGCCAGGACCGGCAACUCUGUGGAUGAGCCCUUCCCACUGGUGUGACCCGGAUGGAUGCAGAGACGACACCGCCCUCCAGAUGCCCCGCCACCCCCCUGCCCGACACACACACACACACACACACACACACCACACACACACGCCCCAUCACACCUCCACCACACACACACACACCACACACACAUCACAAAUACACCACACACACUCCACACACACACACCACACACACAGACACACAUACGGCCCAUCACACCGCCACCACACCCACACACACACAAACGGAGGGGGAAAGGUUGGAAAGAAUUUUUGAUCUGUUUCAAUAAAACACCAAACAUAGCGUUGAAGGAAAAGCCAGCAGCCCGCGGACUCCACGGUUUCGGUUCUGAUUUGCUCAUUCCAUACUCUCCAGGCUCGGGGCCUUUAAGGAACACUAGCGCGCCGAGCGCCAACACUAGGAUCCCUCCUUCGCGCAGCUCACGCGCCGCCCGCCCCCAGCGCCGAAGGCCUCGGGGCGCAAACC